GACAUAGGUUGCGAACGUUAUCCGGAAUUAUUGGGCGUAAGGGAUGCGUAGCUGGCUUGAUAAGUUAUCAUUGGCAAAUCGGGGCUUAACCUCGUGGAAGCUGGUAAUACUGUCAUGCUCGAGUACAGGAGAGGUUAACGGAACUCUAUGUGGAGCGGUAAAAUGUGACGAUAUAUAGAAGAACACCAACAGGCGAAAGCAGUUAACUAUUCUGUUACUGACAUUGAGGCAUGAAAGCGUGGGGAGCAAAACGG
rnacentral:rRNA from 1 species